rnacentral:sRNA from 1 species
CGAAAAUAUUUAAAACUUUCAACAACGGAUCUCUUGGUUCUCGCAUCGAUGAAGAACGCAGCGAAAUGCGAUACGUAAUGUGAAUUGCAGAAUUCCGUGAAUCAUCGAAUCUUUGAACGCACAUUGCGCCCCUUGGUAUUCCAGGGGGCAUGCCUGUUUGAGCGUCAUUUCCUUCUCAAAUAAAAUUUAUUUGGUUGUGAGUGAUACUCUUUUGAGUUAGCUUGAAAUUGUCGGCCGUUUUGUGUUUUUUGCAAAUUAAUAUUUUUUCUAAUUAGAAAGAGAUUUUAUUUUGUCGUAUUAGGUUUUACCAACUUCGGCAGUAUUGGUCUAUUUCGUUUGGAAUAAGUAGUUGCAGCACAUUGGCAAACAAUACUCUUUAAGU